GGCCCUGUCGUCUAACGGUUAGGACGCUAGAUUCUGACUCUAGCAAUCUGAGUUCAAAUCUCAGCAGGACCUCCA
rnacentral:tRNA from 1 species